rnacentral:misc_RNA from 1 species
GAUGAAGAACGUAGCGAAAUGCGAUACUUGGUGUGAAUUGCAGAAUCCCAUGAACCAUCGAGUCUUUGAACGCAAGUUGCGCCCGAAGCCUCGGCUAAGGGCACGUCUGCCUGGGCGUCACGCAUCGCGUCUCCCCCAAACCGCCAAGGCGGAGGGGAAGGAAGAUGGCUUCCCGUGCCUCACCCGGGCGCGGUUGGCCUGAAUUUGGAGCCCGCGGCACUUAGCUCUCGCGGCGAUAGGUGGUGAACAAGGCCUUGGCCGUGCAAACAACCCGCUGCGAAGCGCUAUGUCACGUGCGCUCGUCGGACCCUUUGAAGUUGCCUUUGGUGACUUAAAACCUUUGCGACCCCAGGUCAGGCGGGGCUACCCGCUGAAUUUAAGCAUAUCAAUAAGCGGAGGA